CGCGCACAGCAGUGACGUGAGCGCUGUCACCAGUGCUGACAGCGCUCCAAACUGGUCCAGAGGGUAGAACAUGUCCAACUCCCAGCAUGCACCUGGCUCUGCUGAGCAGCAACAGUUUCAGAACAGAAGUCCUUUUUUCAGAGGUCGUGACCCCAGACCUCGGCCCGAUCACCUGAUACACCGGCAUUCCAACUCGACCAGGAGUUCCACCUGAAGGAUAAUGAACCAGAACAGCGACACACACACACACACACACACACGGUCCCUGGAGGAGGCUGUUUAGAAAAGGUGGCGACUUGGAGAAAGGAGGAGAGAAUCAAAGGAAGGACGACUAGAAGGAAGGGAGGCAGGAGCAUUUUCGGAGCUUUGACCUGCACCGGCACCCCCCAGUGGACGACGACUUCCCGUCUCGAUGUAGAGCUGCCAGUCAGGAAAGUAACUGGAUUAAGAAUCAGCCUGAUGAAUCGACUGUCGCAGCCAGUUAAAAAAGACAUUAGAGAACAGGAAACAGGAGCUGCUGCCUCGUGUGGUCGGUUUGUGUCACUGAGGGGAAUAUGAACAAAGACUUUUGAACACAAACCUUUUAUAUUUGAACUUUGUGAUGACGGCAGUUUGUUUGAAGUUUGAACUGAUUCCAAUCAUUUGCUUUAUUUCCGCUGGAAAUUAUUGCUAAUUUGAAAUUAUUAUUUUUUAAAAAUGAAGAAGAAAUAAUAUCAGCAGCAGAAG